rnacentral:rRNA from 1 species
UGGGGAAUAUUGGACAAUGGGCGAAAGCCUGAUCCAGCCAUGCCGCGUGUGUGAAGAAGGUCUUCGGAUUGUAAAGCACUUUAAGUUGGGAGGAAGGGCAGUAAAUUAAUACUUUGCUGUUUUGACGUUACCGACAGAAUAAGCACCGGCUAACUCUGUGCCAGCAGCCGCGGUAAUACAGAGGGUGCAAGCGUUAAUCGGAAUUACUGGGCGUAAAGCGCGCGUAGGUGGUUCGUUAAGUUGGAUGUGAAAUCCCCGGGCUCAACCUGGGAACUGCAUUCAAACUGACGAGCUAGAGUAUGGUAGAGGGUGGUGGAAUUUCCUGUGUAGCGGUGAAAUGCGUAGAUAUAGGAAGGAACACCAGUGGCGAAGGCGACCACCUGGACUGAUACUGACACUGAGGUGCGAAACGCGUGGGGAGCAAA